rnacentral:rRNA from 1 species
UGCGAACUCCUACGGGAGGCAGCAGUGGGGAAUUUUGGACAAUGGGCGAAAGCCUGAUCCAGCAAUGCCGCGUGCAGGAUGAAGGCCCUCGGGUUGUAAACUGCUUUUGUACGGAACGAAAAGCCUGGGGCUAAUAUCCCCGGGUCAUGACGGUACCGUAAGAAUAAGCACCGGCUAACUACGUGCCAGCAGCCGCGGUAAUACGUAGGGUGCAAGCGUUAAUCGGAAUUACUGGGCGUAAAGCGUGCGCAGGCGGUUUUGUAAGACAGUGGUGAAAUCCCCGGGCUCAGCCUGGGAACUGCCAUCGUGACUGCAAGGCUAGAGUGCGGCAGAGGGGGAUGGAAUUCCGCGUGUAGCAGUGAAAUGCGUAGAUAUGCGGAGGAACACCGAUGGCGAAGGCAAUCCCCUGGGCCUGCACUGACGCUCAUGCACGAAAGCGUGGGGAGCAAACAGGAUUAGAAACCCCGGGUAAUCCAGAUG